ACCGAGGCGUUUGGGCAGAUCUUGUGCUUUCGAGGCAGGCGCGGUGCCACUGAGCUAAAUCCCUGGCCUACCUAGCAGAUUAUCUAACAUAUUUCUGUGCCUCAGCCCCUGGCUGAAGGGUCCACUGAGUGAGAAAUGACUGUGGAAGAUUAAGCAAAAGUAAAGAAAGAAAGAUGCAAAAACAAACAAAGAAAGAAAGAGAAACAAAGGUGGGCCUAGACCUUGAAACAGCCCAGAAAAUGGAGGCAUGCUGUAAAAUUGAUUGGUCAUCGAUUUGCAACCAGACCCCGCAGCACAGUGAACUAUGGAGUCAUCAGUUUGUUAAUCCACUGAGUAUAGUGCUUUUAUGAUCUAUCCAAGGCCAGACUUGUUUAAAAAACAAACAAAAAACAAAAUAAAAAAAAAGCCUCUCAUAGAAUAUGAUAAUCUGUAAAUGUGAUUUCUAUUUUUUGUUUUUGAUUUUUGCAGUUUUGGUGCUCAGACACAGGCAGGGCCUUGUGCAUACUUGGCAACUGCUGUACCACUGAGCUAUAUCCCCG